CUGGCGGCGUGCUUAACACAUGCAAGUCGAACGGAAAGGCCUCUUUCGGGGGUACUCGAGUGGCGAACGGGUGAGUAACACGUGAGUAACCUGCCCUUGACUUUGGGAUAACUUCAGGAAACUGGGGCUAAUACCGGAUAGGAGCUCCUGCUGCAUGGUGGGGGUUGGAAAGUUUCGGCGGUUGGGGAUGGACUCGCGGCUUAUCAGCUUGUUGGUGGGGUAGUGGCUUACCAAGGCUUUGACGGGUAGCCGGCCUGAGAGGGUGACCGGCCACAUCGGGACUGAGAUACGGCCCAGACUCCUACGGGAGGCAGCAGUGGGGAAUAUUGCACAAUGGGUGGAAGCCUGAUGCAGCAACGCCGUGUGCGGGAUGACGGCCUUCGGGUUGUAAACCGCUUUCGCUCAUGACGAAGCUUUGUGUGACGGUAGUGGGUAAAGAAGCACCGGCUAACUACGUG
rnacentral:rRNA from 1 species